rnacentral:rRNA from 1 species
UACGAGGGGGGCGAGCGUUGUUCGGAAUUAUUGGGCGUAAAGGGUGCGUAGGCGGUUCCGCAAGUCCUGUGUGAAAUCUUCGGGCUCAACUCGAAGUCUGCACGGGAAACUGCCGGGCUUGAGUAUGGGAGAGGUGAGUGGAAUUCCUGGUGUAGCGGUGAAAUGCGUAGAUAUCAGGAGGAACACCUGUGGCGAAAGCGGCUCACUGGACCAUAACUGACGCUGAUGCACGAAAGCUAGGAGAGCAAACAGG